GGUUCGGUAGCUUAUUUGGUAAAGCACUCGCCUAGCAUACAAGAGUCGUGGUUUCUAAUCCCACCUGAGCACA
rnacentral:tRNA from 1 species